rnacentral:rRNA from 1 species
GACGAACGCUGGCGGCGUGCCUAAUACAUGCAAGUUGAGCGCUGAAGGUUGGUACUUGUACCAACUGGAUGAGCAGCGAACGGGUGAGUAACGCGUGGGGAAUCUGCCUUUGAGCGGGGGACAACAUUUGGAAACGAAUGCUAAUACCGCAUAAAAACUUUAAACACAAGUUUUAAGUUUGAAAGAUGCAAUUGCAUCACUCAAAGAUGAUCCCGCGUUGUAUUAGCUAGUUGGUGAGGUAAAGGCUCACCAAGGCGAUGAUACAUAGCCGACCUGAGAGGGGGAUCGGCCACAUUGGGACUGAGACACGGCCCAAACUCCUACGGGAGGCAGCAGUAGGGAAUCUUCGGCAAUGGACGAAAGUCUGACCGAGCAACGCCGCGUGAGUGAAGAAGGUUUUCGGAUCGUAAAACUCUGUAGGUAGAGAAGAACGUUGGUGAGAGUGGAAAGCUCAUCAAGUGACGGUAACUACCCAGAAGGGGACGGCUAACUACGUG